GCUCCCAAAGAUUGGAAGGUUUCCGAGUUCAUUGCUAAUGGUACCUGGUGUCUCCCUACUCCUAUUUCUCCUAAAAUGUUAUCACUUUGGCCGACUAUCACAGCUAUUCCAAUCAGGAACAACCCUUCAGAUGUACCUAUUUGGCUUCAUGAUAAUGGCAAAUUUAGUGCCACAUCCGCAUGGAAUCAAAUUAUGCAAAAAAAUAACAAGUGGCUCCCAAGCAGUUGGACAUGGGAUCGACCGGG
rnacentral:lncRNA from 1 species